rnacentral:lncRNA from 1 species
GCUGAGUGCUUGUCCUUACCAGCUACACUCUCCUGCUAGUCCAUCAAUCAAUUAGAUCAUCACUCCAUUGAGGCCAGGAAUCAUGUCUUAUUUUUCUUGCAGUAUCCUUCACUGCUGAAGGCCUCCGGGGAAUUCACCUGCCGUGCCUGCUUAUGGACUGGAUCUACUUUAGCUCACAGAAUGAGCACAAAGAAAGGACAGAUUGUAAGUGAGGAGCUGUUGGUGAUGUGAGAGUGAUACCUGCCCAAACACACUGGAAGCCAGCGGCCAUCGGUCCUGCACAUUUCAGUCCAGAGUGCUCACUGUUACACCAGGAAGACACGUCAGUCCUGCACGUUUCAAUUGGACUUGCCAUACCUGAGUUGCUAAGCUAUGAGGUUCCUGAAGACACUUCUGCUAUUGAGAGGCCAAUCAAACUGGUGAUACUCAACAGACAGAACUUUCAACAGGUAAGUGCUUCCAAAUGUGAGCACAGGGCAUUCUGGGAAGUUAUAACUGAAGGUCUAACUCAGGAAGAAAGAGCAGCAUUUUUGUUAGGUUGUGUUCUAACUGUCUGUUAUAAGAUUCGGG